CCUACGGGAGGCAGCAGUGAGGAAUAUUGGUCAAUGGGCGCGAGCCUGAACCAGCCAAGUCGCGUGAGGGAAGACGGUCCUAUGGAUUGUAAACCUCUUUUGUCGGGGAGCAAAAGACGCCACGCGUGGCGUUCCGAGAGUACCCGACGAAAAAGCAUCUGCUAACUCCGUGCCAGCAGACGCGGUAAUAAGGAGGAUGCGAGCGUUAUCCGGAAUUAUUGGGUUUAAAGGGUGCGCAGGCGGAAGAUCAAGUCAGCGGUAAAAUUGAGAGGCUGAAGCUCUUCGAGCCGUGGAAACUGGUUUUCUUGAGUGCGCGAGAAGUAUGCAGAAUGAGUGGUGUAGCGGUGAAA
rnacentral:rRNA from 1 species